rnacentral:rRNA from 1 species
GACGAACGCUGGCGGCGUGCUUAACACAUGCAAGUCGAACGGAAAGGCCCUGCUUGCAGGGUACUCGAGUGGCGAACGGGUGGGUAAGACGGGGGUGAUCUGCCCUGCACUUCGGGAUAAGCCUUGGAAACUGGGUCUAAUACCGGAUAGGAGCCACUUUUAGUGUGAUGGUUGGAAAGUUUUUUCGGUGUUGGAUGAGCUCGCGGCCUAUCAGCUUGUUGGUGGGGUAAUGGCGUACCAAGGCGGCGACGGGUAGCCGGCCUGCGGGGGUGGACGGCGACAUUGGGACUGAGGUGCGGCCCAGGCGCCUACGGGAGGAAGCAGUGGGGAAUAUUGCACCAUCGGCGCAAGCCGGAUGCAGAGGGGCCGCGGGUGGGAUGACCGCCUUCGGGUUGUAAACUCCUUUCGCGAGAGACGAAGCUUUUUGUGACGGUACCUAGAUAAGAAGCACCGGCUAACUACGUG